UGACAAUGAUGAACGCUUUAUCCCGAAACUGACCAUUUAUUGAUGAUAAAAAACCUUUACGGAUCUGAUUGCUGAGUC